GUCUUUCAUCCAUCAAGUCCCCAGUAACCUACAAACCUACAGUAACCCACUGACACCAGUCCCACGAGGUACAGUAGCUUGGGCAAAGUACAUGGAAAACGAACACAAAGGGUAUGUACAAGACGGGGCUGGCACAGCAGCAAAACGGCUGACUCUGUGAUUGGAUGUACAGAUACAAUUUGGAUGCAUGUAUUCUGGCAACAACAGAGCAAGAGAGGACAUUUCCAUGUUGCAUAAGAGAUGAAAUUUCUGCUGCCGGUAUUCCUGUACACUUCCUGGGCUUAUCUAUCUGGAUGGACAUAGCCAAAAGUACUUGGUAGAUGCCAACAAAGAAGCCCAGGUGAAUUGCCGCAGGUGGGGCAUACUCCAUCGACAACGUGCUGAAGGUGGUGGAAGCAAAUUCCUAAGUUGCUGGAUGGGUUGACAGUCAAAAUGGGUUGCCGUGUCCUCAGCUGUAUUUACCUAAAGGGAGUGGUGAAAAUUCCAUCAUGUUUCUUACUUGUGGCUUGGAAUUGUUGGAAAGUUUUUGGGGAAAUCAAGAGUUCAGUUUCUCGUCAGUAUUCAAUGGCGUUGGUAAUUGCAGUCUUUAUAUGUCCAGUCCAAUUAACCUGCCGGUAAUUGUAGUCUCCCAUACAUUGAUUGGGGAGCUCAUUGAUGGGAAGCUAGGAUUGGAGGUUCAGCUUUGAGUGUGGUUACAGUCUGGCCCCUUGUAUGCAGUGAAUUUCAAUUGCCAAAAGUGAAUAUUGUCCAAAUUCUGCUACAUGCAGGUGCUCCUUUUUGAUGCCACUCAAGCCCUUUGUUCCAACAGAAGACUAAUUAAUCAGGUUUGUACACCUCUGCCAAAAAGCUUGUUGUGAUCAACCUGCCCGGCUGCUCCUCUGCCUGCUCCUUCUCUGCCAAAUGUGGAUUUCCUGAUGUUGGAAGAGUCAAGCCUGCAUUUCAGGAUGUGCGGGACGCAGCAUACAAUACCAAUUUGCAAUGCUCACCCAUCUCUCCAGUUGCUGGAAGCAUUGCAGAAGAGCCCACCUGCUCUGUCACAUUGCCAGAAAACACUGCUGCGGAACCAGAAUCAGAAUGGCAAAGAAUAGUUCAGUUGAUGAUCGAGUUUUCACUGCUACUCGCAUAAUAAUCAUUCAUUUCGGGAAUAGUCUUAGACAAACCAGACACUGAAGGAAGCCCUCAAUCCUCAGAAGGUCACUGAUUGCCCUCUGCUUAGGGAGAAAAUGAAUUUGUCUCUAUCACCUUCCUCACCCAAGGGGUCCUGCAAGUGGCCCUUUGUUGCUAACAUCUUACAGACAUCACCACAAUAUCCUAUACAAAAGCCCUUAUCAGUAUAGCAGACAGGUUUACAUCAACAUAUUGUAGAAAAGGUUACUAUGUUUUAUGCAAAUUAUUUGCUUUUUGAGUUGUACCAUACAUGUUAAAAAGUCCAAAAGAAUGUACUCCAUGAUUAAUUUAUGCCAACCAGAAAGUCCAGGGGCCUUAUCGGACAUCCAACAAAGUAAAAUGUUCUUCCUCGCACAAAAGUCAGAAUGUUAUAGAGUUUUUUCUGAUGUGCAUUAAUAAUAUGACUGCUGGGUAAGCCUAAGACACUGGGUCCAGUUCAAGCUCCAUCUUCAGAAUCUUUUCUAUUUCACCCAAAAUAUCACUCCAGUAUGCCUGAAGUUUGGAACAAGUCCAAAAAUAAUGGGUGAGAGUUCAAUAUUUCCUUUACUUUUUCCUUCUUUAUUAUGUAUUGUAUUGAACUGCUGCUGCUAAGGUAACAGAUCUCACAACACAAGCCAGUGAUAAUAAACCUGAUUUUCAUUCUGUUGUGGCAUCAGUGAACUUAAUGCUUUGGUCUGCACUGCAUCUACCAGUGCAGUCAACAGUGUGAAGAGCAGUGGGCUGAACUUGCAGCCCAGGGGAGCACCAGUGCUCAGUGUGAUCGAGCUGGAGAUGUUUCAGCCAACACAGACUGGCUGUGGCCUUUCUGCCAAGAUGUCCAGGAUGCAGUUACAGAGAGAAGUUUUGAGACCUAUUGAGGACAGUUUACCCAGCAUCUUCUGCGAGGUGAUCAAAUCAGAUGCCGAGCUGAAGUCAGUAAAAAGCAUCCUGCCAUAUGAGGCACUAUUUUCCAGGGGUGACAGGAUGGAGUAGAAUACAGGGGCUAUGGCAAAAUCAGUGGACCAAUCUGAACAAUAAGCAAACUGCAAAAGGUCCAAUGUAGCAGGAAGAUGUAAUAAUCUCUAAAUGGUCUUCCAUUUUGGCCCUUUAGCUCUCUUGGUCCAUUGUAGGGUGACGUAAUUAGGGAAAAUGUGCAUAAUUCACAACCACUGACAUUGACUUGGGUUUCACUUUAAGAGGCUGGUCUGACGUGAUGACAUUGUUACAUGAAGAUUUUAGCUUGCUUUGGUGUUUCAGGUUUUGCAGUUCAGUAAAUUGUGUUGCCUAGUUUCACUCAGCAUAAAACACCUCAGUUUGCUUUAUUGCAAAAACCUAAAUUAGUGACCCCAAUGUUCUGGGAUGUUUCCAGAGUUAUCGAACAUGUCAUGUCAGCCAACACAAUCACUUUGAAACUGCUGGAGUUUUGGGAGCAGAAUGCCAACGCUGAGGCCCAGUUCGAUCUGUGAGAUAUCUCUGUGGGCGACACCAAAUCCUACUACAUAGUAGCAUUGCUCAGCGAUUCUGCAGUAGUGAGGGUGGAGAGUCUGCUUGAAGCUCAUGAACAUGAUAAAUACCAAUCGCUGAAAACUCACCUGUCGUAGACUAUCCAUGUCUGAGCACAUCAAACAGGUGUCGUCCUUGCCUGGUCCCAGCAAUGCUCAGCCUUCAGAGUUAGUGGACCACAUUCCGUCUCUCCUGGGCAAUCACCAUCCUUGCUUUAUUUUUAAAGAACUCUUCAUGCAGCAAAUGCAAUCAAGUUCACAUAGCCCUCACUAAUACACCCACGUUGGACUAUAGGGAGCUAGCGAAAUGGCUGAUAGUCUGCGCUCAGCUAGGCAGUGAUGCACCAUUCCUCUUCUCUCUACCUCGGUAAGCCUGGUCAGCAAGGCUCCCAACACUAGGAUGCCCGUGGCUGCAAGACAGACAACGCCAGGUCGGUGUGGUACAAACGCUAGGAAGCACUGACCACCUUUGAGCUUUGACAGUGCCAGUGCAUCGGGACAUCAGAAGUCUGUGAACACCGUUCUUCAUGGACAGCAUUUCAGGGCCACGCUUCCCGUGUGACACGGGUGCUCAUGUGGGUGUGCUGCCAGCAUCGCCUAUCGAUGAGAAGGGAUAGAGUGAUGAAACCUCACUGGAAGCCAUCAACAGCAGCAGGAUCCAGACUUGCGGGACAUGGCAGGAGACACUGCGCUUCAGUGGGCAACAUUACACAUGGGACAUCAUCCUGGCUAAAGUGGCUAGACCUCUGCUUGGUGCCGAUGUCCUGUGUGCCCAAGGACUAUUAGUUGAACUUAAGAAUUGCCGGCUUGUAGAUGUCAAGGACUUUGUGUAGUUAACCUGCUCUCCCAGUAAGUUCCCCUUAACAACUAUGUCAAGCGCAACCUCAUGUGAGUUUACUCAACUGCUGGGCGAAUUCCCAAACCUCACUAAGCCCACAUUCUCCACUACAGUCACAAAACAUAGGGUCAAGUACCACAUAUCCGCUCUUUUUGUUUUCUUCUAGAGGGUCGCCAUUUCACAGGACUUGUUGGCCACUGAUCCCUCAUGCACCUGAUGGCCAAAAUUUCAGCCCCUUGGUCUGCAGGGCAGUAACACCCCCUGGCCUACAAAUCCAAGUUUACUACUGAUAGACAACAUAUCAAGGGAAAAAAUAAUGCCAAUUGUCUCUCAGAACCAGCCAUUGAGGCCGUACGCCUAGGGGUUGAUUAUGCUGGCAUGGCAGCUGACCAGGUUUCUGACCCCAAGGUCCAGGCUUACCGAACAUCAGUCACGGGCCUGCAAUUGGCUGACAUUAAGUUCGAGGAAGCUGGGUUUUCUCUGUGCAAUGUCUCAACCGGUCUCCCUCGCCUCAUCGUGCCCAUCAGCUGGAGACGGACUGUUUUCUACCCUCUACAUGGCCUGUCACAUCCGGGCCAGAAGGCCUCACAGAGACUGUUUGUACUGAAGUUUCUGUGGCAUGGCCUGUCAC